rnacentral:lncRNA from 1 species
GAUCAGGUAUCAAAAGAAACACAGUUUGGUAUUUUAGCCCUGAAGAACCAGGAUGAACGUAGUUUGUAAUAACAUGAUUAUUUUCCUUUUUGGUGCAGACUGCAGACAGGAUAUAAUAAAAAAGUAAAUACCGGUACUACAGCUCCAGUGAACCCUUAAGUAGUCUCAGGUAGAGGGGGUGGGAGCAAGUGGGGAGCCGUGUGCACUCUGCAGGAAGCGAGAGAGACGAGAGCUGAACAGUGUCGAGUGAACGCAGAGUUCCUAGAAGGGCGACAGACAUAUUUUCGGAUUGACGGAUAGUUAACUGGAGUGAAAAGCUGUUGUACCCUACUGUGAGUAGGAGGAGACGGACGUCUUGCUGGCGUGUCAGAGAGGUCCCUUCUACUGGUGUGCUGAAGUUAUGUGUUCACGUGGAGAGGACGACUGAGUGCUGCUGCCGCGGCCUGCUGGUAGCCUUGACCCACUUUCCCCUGCUAUCCCCUUGAACUGCCUGGAGGUGUGAGUACUGUUUGCACGUGCUUUUUAUUUUACUGCUUGGCAACAAGUGAAGCGACCAUAUUGUUUUAGGUCCCAACGCACCCGAGCCACGACUCAGGCCUGCAACGAGGGGUUUGCUAGCAGAAAGACUGUAGCACUUGAGGUGUGAGUGUGUGUGGGCUCACAGUAUUAUUUUAAUUAUUUUGUUUCUGUUGAAGUAGAUACCAUACCAUUGUUUAACAAACUUUAUUGAUUUUACUUAUUUUCUUUUGUGUUAUUAAUUAAUCAUUCACUAAAGUGGAGUUAACUUUAUAAUUGACCUGCUUGUGUGUGAUUUAUUUCCAUAUAGUGUAGUUUUAUUGCAUAUUUUGUACCAUAAGCAUUAAAAAGGGAGUAUCAGUAGGAAAGUAACAACAGGAACCCAGGGCCCCUCUCAAUAGAACGUGGGACGGGUGUUACAUAAUAUGCAUUUAACAAUUUGAUUAUUUUCUAACAAAAAACUGAGUGAAACUCAAGUUAGACCUGUGUUUGUAAAUGAACCGCCCCAUGUUGUGUAGCUUUCUGGAUUUUAUACUUCUACAACACUGUCCAAUAGAGACACAUGAAUGAAAUGCAG